UACGUAGGGGCGAGCGUUGUCCGGAAUAAUUGGGCGUAAAGGGCGCGUAGGCGGCUCUGCAAGUCAGUAGUGGAAGUCCCAUUUUCAAGGUGGGGAGGGCUAUUGAAACUGCGGAGCUUGAGUGCAGGAGAGGUUAUCGGAAUUCCCGGUGUAGCGGUGAAAUGCGUAGAGAUCGGGAGGAACACCAGUGGCGAAGGCGGGUAACUGGACUGCAACUGACGCUGAGGCGCGAAAGUGUGGGGAGCAAACAGGAUUAGAUACCCUAGUAGUCCCU
rnacentral:rRNA from 1 species